AAUAUUGCGCAAGGGAGGGAACUCCGACGUCGCGACGCCGCGUGAGCGAUUAAGGUCUUCUGAUCGUACAUCUCGCUCCUUGGGGGAGAAGGUAGCCGUAAGGAAUCUCGACGGUACCCAUGGAGUAAGCACCGGCUAACUACAUGCCAGCAGCCGCGUUAAUACGUAGGGGGCAAGCGUUGUCCGGAAUUAUUGGGCGUAAAGGGUGCGUAGGCGGCCCUUUAAGUCAGAUGUGAAAGCCCACGGCUUAACCGUGGGACUGCAUUUGAAACUGGAGGGCUUGAGUGUCGGAGAGGGCAGUGGAAUUCCCAGUGUAGCGGUGGAAUGCGUAGAUAUUGGGAGGAACACCAGUGGCGAAGGCGACUGCCUGGACGAUAACUGACGCUGAGGCACGAAAGCUAGGGGAGCAAAC
rnacentral:rRNA from 1 species